UACAGAGGUGGCAAGCGUUGUUCGGAAUUACUGGGCGUAAAGGGCGCGUAGGUGGCCUGGUAAGUAGGGGGUGAAAUCUCGUGGCUCAACUGCGAGGCUGCCUCCUAAACUGUCAGGCUCGAGCAGAGUAGAGGCAGGUGGAAUUCCCGGUGUAGCGGUGGAAUGCGUAGAGAUCGGGAAGAACAUCGGUGGCGAAGGCGGCCUGCUGGGCUCUUGCUGACACUGAGGCGCGACAGCGUGGGGAGCAAACAGGA
rnacentral:rRNA from 1 species